rnacentral:piRNA from 1 species
UAAUGGUAUCUCUAUACCACUUUGCCUGCAC